CCUACGGGAGGCAGCAGUGGGGAAUAUUGGACAAUGGGCGAAAGCCUGAUCCAGCCAUGCCGCGUGUGUGAAGAAGGCCUUCGGGUUGUAAAGCACUUUCAGUGGGGAAGAAAGCCUUGGGGCUAAUACCCUCGAGGAAGGACAUCACCCACAGAAGAAGCACCGGCUAACUCCGUGCCAGCAGCCGCGGUAAUACGGAGGGUGCGAGCGUUAAUCGGAAUUACUGGGCGUAAAGCGCGCGUAGGCGGUCUGAUAAGCCGGUUGUGAAAGCCCCGGGCUCAACCUGGGAACGGCAUCCGGAACUGUCAGGCUAGAGUGCAGGAGAGGAAGGUAGAAUUCCCGGUGUAGCGGUGAAAUGCGUAGAGAUCGGGAGGAAUACCAGUGGCGAAGGCGGUCUUCUGGACUGACACUGACGCUGAGGUGCGAAAGCGUGGGUAGCAAACAGGAUUAGAUCCCCUGGUAGUC
rnacentral:rRNA from 1 species